ensembl:lincRNA linc-67 ncRNA
GGCAUCACGAGUGUUUUUGUGUUCGACCGGCACAUAGAACGAUAUCAAAGGUUUACAGUAACUAUAAAACGAAAAAAAAAGAACACGUUUACAUGCAAAUCCAACACACAAAUUAUGGGCUGUUAUCAGCUGAGUGUAAUUGUUGCCAGCCGUCAACUCAUAACCUCACUUUCCCUCUCUCUCUCUUCCUCUCACCAUGUUUGAGUUUCUAAAGAACAAAUGAAAAAUGAAGAAGACGAAUGAUGUUCUCCUCAUCAUUCUUUAACUGUUUCUGUUUUCGACAUGUAUUACAUCUUUUUUGAAUGGAUUUUUUUUAUUUUUAACAUGCCUGAUACAUUUUAUAAUAAAUAUUUGUUGGU